rnacentral:rRNA from 1 species
UACGUAGGGUGCAAGCGUUGUCCGGAAUUAUUGGGCGUAAAGAGCUCGUAGGCGGUGUGUCACGUCGGCCGUGAAAACCUGCAGCUUAACUGUGGGCGUGCGGUCGAUACGGGCAUCACUGGAGUUCGGCAGGGGAGACUGGAAUUCCUGGUGUAGCGGUGAAAUGCGCAGAUAUCAGGAGGAACACCGGUGGCGAAGGCGGGUCUCUAGGCCGAUACUGACGCUGAGGAGCGAAAGCGUGGGGAGCAAACAGG